CCUACGGGAGGCAGCAGUGAGGAAUAUUGGUCAAUGGGCGAGAGCCUGAACCAGCCAAGUAGCGUGAAGGAUGACUGCCCUAUGGGUUGUAAACUUCUUUUAUAAAGGAAUAAAGUCGGGUAUGCAUACCCGUUUGCAUGUACUUUAUGAAUAAGGAUCGGCUAACUCCGUGCCAGCAGUCGCGGUAAUACGGAGGAUCCGAGCGUUAUCCGGAUUUAUUGGGUUUAAAGGGAGCGUAGAUGGAUGUUUAAGUCAGUUGUGAAAGUUUGCGGCUCAACCGUAAAAUUGCAGUUGAUACUGGAUAUCUUGAGUGCAGUUGAGGCAGGCGGAAUUCGUGGUGUAGCGGUGAAAUGCUUAGAUAUCACGAAGAACUCCGAUUGCGAAGGCAGCCUGCUAAGCUGCAACUGACAUUGAGGCUCGAAAGUGUGGGUAUCAAACAGGAUUAGAUACCCGAGUAGUC
rnacentral:rRNA from 1 species